GCACCUAAAGCGUUUUGUGACUAACACAACCACAAACACAGUAUUAUGAUGUUUGUAGAUUUGGGACAUAUUUUGGUAAACCUUUUAUGGGGUCGAGCAACAAUUAAAUUCCGCAUAUUGUAUACCCUUUAAACCAAACGGCAAUCUGCUGCAAUCUUUUCAUCGUCACUCUGGUGCUCUCUUCGACCAGCGCCCCGACUCAUUGAACGCAUGCUGUGAUGAGACCGGUUCCUACGAGGCCAGACGAGAUCGAUUCUUAUCCGGACCAUUUCCCGGAUAGAAAGAACCGACUAUUCGAUAACGUGAUUUGAGUAAGGUUAAGAAGUCGUUUCAGCGCUGUCUACAGCAUUGUUCGUUAUGUCAAAGAAGAAGAAGAAGAAAAGCGGGAGGCUAUGAGCUUGCAAUGCCGCACGCGGCCUCGGUACGUGGGGGAUGGCGAAAUCCCCUGUAGAACAAAGAGAGCAGGGAGAUGGCAGGGAACUGUGGGGUCUUAUCGGCCACGGGCUGCAAUCGCCCAAGUGGUUCCGAUGAAGCGCUAGUAUGUGGUCAGCGAGUGCGCUAGGUAGUUCGGCAGGCGCCAGUCCGACCCGUGGGUGCAACGAGUUCGAGCCGACACAAAUGAACUGGAUCGUUUACGGAUGGUUCCGACAGAGAAGGAUUACGCUGGAUCUUUUCCGCGGGGCCCCACGCGGGCGCUUAGUUUGGUUUGGCCUCUGGUUAAUCCGCCCCUGCCCGCACCUCACUAUUGUUUGCCUUAAGGCUUACGGCAAAUACAGUUUAAAUUUGUUAUUCUAAACUAUACUAGCAUUAUUGAACAGCAAUACGAAAGAAAAGGAAUGGGAAGGAAAGAAGGAGAAAGGGAGUAAAUAAAUGGGGAACUAACCAGAGCGGAAGGGAGCGGAGGAGCAGGAAGGGUGAUAGUCGAAGAGGUGAGAUGAGAAGAUGAAAGCGGUGAUUGCGUGUAGUAGCGUUUACUGUUCCGAAGCGACGAUGGGUUCUAAACAAAGGGGGACGAGAGCGAAGCGAACUGGACGGAGCAUACAAGAACGGGGAGGACAUACAGGAAGGGAACAACAUGCAUUUUUUAAGUCGAUUUUCUUCCUUCUGUAUUGUCCACAUUGUCCACAUCUAUCUUAUGAGCUGCGGAUCGUACAAAGCUUCUUCAUCUUUUUCUUAUUUGACACAGUAACCAUUGCUUUUCUGCCUGCCUCAGCCACUUCUUUCUUCUUCUUGGCGCAACGACCUACGCGGUCAUGCCGGAUAGUUAACCGUUUGCUACGAUAGACGUCCAUACGAGGCUUGAACUCAUGGCGAGCAUGUUGCUAAGUCGUGCGAGUUGACGUGACCUGUUACUAAUUGUUUUACCCCUAGCGAGAUACGCACUCCUGGGCCAUUAGGAUCAAACGGGGCUUGAACGCAGGACGGUCAUGUUGUUGUGUUGUGUUCGGGUAGUACGACAACGAGGGGCAGCCAAAUCCAGCCAAGCCAUCCAUAAAAUGCGGGGGCGCGUGGAGCAGCUUUGCGAGUGAAAGGACCGGCUGCAUCACCGGCAAUUGAGGCUCCCGGGAGCCAGUCGCCACAGCCAAUCCUCGAGCGCAGCCGCAGUGCUAUCGACUAUGCAUGCAGCAUAAACGCCACUUACGCAUCCUGCGUCAGGCGAGAGUUGGAGCAAGCAGGGCAAAGCGAGCGAGGCCAAGCCGGGGCGGUUCGCUCCUCGCUUACAGCAUCGAGCGAGAGGUGUUACUGUUUCUCUUCCGAACAGUAGACCCCGGUAAUUAGGAUUAAAAGGGUACACCAUGGUGGGUAAAUCCUAACCUUCAAUCCGUGGGAGGAAGAGAGGAAGGGAGGAGGGGUGGGAGAAGAUUAGAGAGUUUGUACAUUAUUAAAGAAAAAAUAAUGGAAAGACAAUAUGUGUUCAAUGCUAUCCCUCAUUUUAAUAUUUGACCUUCCUUUGGCUUUAACUAAGCAUUGGUUGGCUUAACUUGAGCGGACUAGUGCAUUGAGUGAUCUUUUGUUUGAAUUAUUUUUUUUUUUGCACAAGUGCAACUAACUACACUAACAAAUAACAUAAAACCAGUACGAAGCAUGCAUUCAUUCGGUUCGGAAAAUAGCUCGAACGGUAAAUCGAUUCCAUCCACACGACAACUUGCGCGUUGAUCAAAUCCAGAUUCGAACGACGGCGCUCUAGCCAACGCGCAAUGCAUCAGCAGCCAAAAAAAACGGGAAGGAAAAAAACAAUAACCACAAGUCAAGCGCGCUCACACAAGGUCAAGCAUUCGCCAAUAACUGCUGGGAAAACGAAGGAGGUGGGGAAGGACGUCACUGAACACGCGUAUGAUCUGGUAGAACGGAUAAAGAA